ACAGACACACAGGGCUCAUGUGGCAGUGCCCAGCAGUACAAGGAAUAGUGGUCUGGAGGGUAUACUCUGCAGAUCUGAGCUGCUAAAGAAGUGCGAUUCAUCAUACUGAGACCAUCGUGAUUGAAGAAAGUGCACAGAUAGGGGAGAUUCUUUGCUCAAGAUGAACUUUGCCAACAUGACCAGCUCAGAGAAGACGACGACCUUUGGCAGACAAGAAGAGCUAAUUGAAACACCAGGAGACGAUUGGAGCUCUGAAGGGUAACAGCAAAAACACCUCUGCUUUUAGAUGCUACCUUCCCCUGCCCUUCUCCUCGGUGCAUCACAGGGGAAAUACAUAAAUGUUUGUUAACUUUAGUGAAUAGAUGCAUUUCCCUGUUUAAAGCUCUA